CAAAACAUGGAGAAAAAGUUGUUCUUUCCGGAUUCGCUGAUUUCCGGAAUCAAACAAUGUGAUGCAAUUAAAAAAAAGAUCUGGAAAUUUCAUGAUGAACCGACAAAGUGAACAAAAUUCAGAAAUCCCAUACAAUACUUGUUUAAAAUUAAACCAGCUCAUACGAUGGAUGUUACGUGUAGAAUCAUGCUCGAAUAUACUUAUGCAACUACAGUAGAUGCUGGGUUCAAUACAGAAGAUAUUCGUGGAACAAGCAUAGGUGAAUACAUCAAUAUGUAUUUUAUAUCGAUACGGGGAAAUCUUUGCCUUGUGGCUACCUUCAGACAUUUACCAAAUUUUUGUUAAUUCUUCUCCCGAACUGUACCUGAUAGUUGCAGUUCAGAAAAUGCAGCAACAGUACCAUGUGUAUAUUGCACAUGCAUAGCUGUACUUUACAUUAACGGAAGAAUGCUAAAGAGUGAAAGAAUCUUUAGCCAUGCUGGUUAUGGUGAAAUUGUCGGAGUAACUACUAACAUAGCCCCCCGUGAAGGCUGUGAAGUAAUUACUACGGUCGAUAAACCAGAAAAAAGUGUAGACCUUGUCCUAAAUACUUUAGUAGAAGAUAACUGUAAUCGUCUCUGCGUUGUUCAUCUAUAAAUGACGAUU